rnacentral:rRNA from 1 species
CCCUUAGAUGUUCUGGGCUGCACGCGUGCUACACUGAUAUUGCCAAUAUGUCAUUCUUAUCCGAAAUGGAUUGGGUAAUCAAGUAAUGAAAUUUCAUGCUUGGAAUCGGUAAUUGCAAUUUUAUCGUGAACGAGGAAUUCCUAGUAAGCGCUAGUCAUCAGCUAAUGUUGAUUAUGUCCCUGCCCUUUGUACACACCGCCCGUCGCUACUACUGAUUGGGUGUUCAAGUGAGAUGCUUAGACCCUUGUUGCAUGGUUCAUUAUUGUGCUCCGAAAGGAAAAAGUUUCAAGCUUGAGUGUCUAGAGGAAGUAAAAGUCGUAACA